UACGGAGGGUGCAAGCGUUAUCCGGAUUCACUGGGUUUAAAGGGUGCGUAGGCGGGCAGGUAAGUCAGGGGUGAAAUCUUCGAGCUUAACUCGGAAACUGCCUUUGAUACUAUCUGUCUUGAAUAUUGUGGAGGUAAGCGGAAUAUGUCAUGUAGCGGUGAAAUGCUUAGAUAUGACAUAGAACACCAAUUGCGAAGGCAGCUUACUACACAAUCAUUGACACUGAGGCACGAAAGCGUGGGGAUCAAACAGG
rnacentral:rRNA from 1 species